GUGGGGCAAGAAGUUCUUCCACAAUCUCCCCUUGG
rnacentral:ribozyme from 1 species